rnacentral:rRNA from 1 species
CCUACGGGGGGCAGCAGUGAGGAAUAUUGGUCAAUGGACGAGAGUCUGAACCAGCCAAGUAGCGUGAAGGAUGACUGCCCUAUGGGUUGUAAACUUCUUUUAUAUGGGAAUAAAAUGUUCCACGUGUGGGAUUUUGUAUGUACCAUAUGAAUAAGGAUCGGCUAACUCCGUGCCAGCAGCCGCGGUAAUACGGAGGAUCCGAGCGUUAUCCGGAUUUAUUGGGUUUAAAGGGAGCGUAGGUGGAUUGUUAAGUCAGUUGUGAAAGUUUGCGCCUCAACCGUAAAAUUGCAGUUGAAACUGGCAGUCUUGAGUACAGUAGAGGUGGGCGGAAUUCGUGGUGUAGCGGUGAAAUGCUUAGAUAUCACGAAGAACUCCGAUUGCGAAGGCAGUUCACUGGACUGCAACUGACACUGAGGCUCGAAAGUGUGGGUAUCAAACAGGAUUAGAUACCCGAGUAGUC